GGGGUGGAGCAGCCCGGUAGCUCGUCAGGCUCAUAACCUGAAGGUCGCAGGUUCAAAUCCUGCCCCCGCAACCA
rnacentral:tRNA from 1 species